rnacentral:lncRNA from 1 species
UUUUCCCCCUGCUUGGUGAUUGCCUUGCUGUAACGUGUAGCUUACGCUGCUGGGGAGACGUCCGCCGCGGUCGGGAAUUUGCGAGGCAGUUACGCUUGAGCAGCUCAAGCUGCUGGAGGUGGUGACGCUGGGCUGCCGGUCCUGGCAGCGGCGCCUGGCUCCGCGCUGGGGCCGGGCUGCUCCUGCCAAGAGCUCGCAGGUUCGGCUGGCCUAGGCCUGCCGGCUGGCUCCCCGCUGCAGGGAAACAGCGACUGCCACGUGAAUCUAGCAGCAAGAAAGAGUAUGGGACUUGGCAUCACUGCCACCUUGAGGAGCUCCGCUGGUUCUUCAGGGUGCCAGGUGAGAGGGGCUGGCACGACGCCAGCAUCCUUUGCUAGUAGGGCCUUUGAUGGAAAGGAAAACUCAGAGGAACUCGAUAUCUUGGGCGCUUCCCCUUUCCUGGAAUAGAAAGGCCAUGCAGCAGCAAUACCCACAUGUUAGCAGAGUGGAAGCUGAAAUAAAAUGCGCAGGACAAAUAUUACUGUCA